UACGGGGGGGGCAAGCGUUGUUCGGAAUUACUGGGCGUAAAGGGUUCGUAGGUGGCUCGCUAAGUCAGACGUGAAAUCCCUCAGCUUAACUGGGGAACUGCGUCUGAGACUGGCAAGCUCGAGUGCAGGAGAGGAACGCGGAAUUCCAGGUGUAGCGGUGAAAUGCGUAGAUAUCUGGAGGAAUACCGGUGGCGAAGGCGGCAUCCUGGACCAAUACUGACGCUGAGGCGCGAAAGCUAGGGGAGCAAACGGG
rnacentral:rRNA from 1 species